AGUGGGGUAGCUCAAUGGUAGAGUAUGUGGUUAACAUGCACAUGGCCCUGGGUUAGAUCCAUAGUACCACCA
rnacentral:tRNA from 1 species